rnacentral:misc_RNA from 1 species
AAGAAUUUAGAUAAAUGAAAAAAUUUAUCUAUAUUCAAUCCAUUAUAAAUUCAAAACACAAUUAUUUUACAUAUAGGUUUGAUUGUGCAUAUGAGCCCGCGAUCGAGAUGAAUAGAGUCUGAGCAAUAAUUUCCCUAGAUUCUAACUAUAUGAGCCCAAGCAGAUAUCUCCACACAUGUUUUUGGCUUCAUGAAGUGUUGUUUGCAAAGGGGGUAACCACUUCUAUAUGAACCGAGUAAGAAGUGAGCGAAAAUCUCAGACAAAAUUGCUUCCUAUGUCACACAACAAACUUUCAAUUUUCGGGCAAUACACACCAAAACACACUGCCCAAUACCCCCAUGUUUUCAAAGUACGAAAGGUUUGCUUACUGAGUUGGUAAGCUCAAAUAGCUCUUUACUUUUUGUUGAGAAGAUGAGCAAGGUUUCGAAGUUCCUCAAAUGCAUGCAUUGUUUCUGCAUCAAAUCCUCCAGCAAACUGAUGAAUUCUGAAAGCAAACCUAACUCCUUGGAGUAGCAUAUAGUCUAGUGCAGGGUCCUUUUCUAGUGCUGCUUUUGACUGAAUUUCUAUUGCUACCCUCUUCAUGUACUUCUUUGCCAACUUCACUGAGCCAAAUUUUAUCUUGCUAAUAAUGCCAUUAUCCACCAUCCAAUCUGUUGGAAUUUGGAAAUCUUUGCAAUUACGCAUCAAGGAUUCUCUUGUUCUUAGAAGGUUGUAAACAGUACGUUCCAUUUUCUCAGAUAAAGUGACCAUUUUCUUUAAUGCAAUGUCACAAGGCAUUCGAGGAUCAUCCUUGUAAUAAGACACUUCUGACUCCAACUUCUUCAAAUCUCUAUACCCAAAUGCUGCUUCUCGUAGCGUAUCAGCUUUCUUUUCUGGCCAAUCGAAGUGCUUCAGGACUGCCCUUUCAUCCACCAGAAAGCCAAGUUCAUCAUCAAGCCACUUCACAAAUGCCACAACAUCUUCAAUGUUCUGGUAAACCGCAUUAUUGACCUCUCUUAUCAGUGAAUUGACGAAUUCUCCUUGAGUCUCAACAUCUGCUUUGAUAGCAAGCAAAUGUGACGAUCGAUUUUCAAUUUCACCAAUCAUGCUGCUACGUACAUUUGCAACAUCUGUGGCAUCACAGAUUCCUCCAUUUGAAGAUUCCUUUCUGGAGUCCCUCUUCAUUAGUGAAUGGUAAAAUUCAACAACUUGAGGUGCCCGCCGCACCACUCCUGCUAUAGUACUACUCACUGAGAACUUUGGUGGAGGUGGUGGGGGAGGCGGAGGUGGAGGUGGUGGUGGAUGUAGAACUUGACCUGAACCUUCUUCUUUAGGUACACUGGAAACAGAAUAUGAGGGUCUUGGAGGAGGAUUUGGAACGCGCAAAGCCCUUUUCUCAACAUCUAAUGAUGACACCAUCUUAUUAUUCUCUAGGCAAUUUUCAAAGAUUUGAGGUCUUUGAUCCAUGCCCAAAACAUACUUCUGGGAAGUUACUGCCUCAGAUUCCUUUUCUACUUCUUUACCACACAUAAAACCAUCAGAUUGCCUUCUCCUACUUGAUACCCACUCUUCUACACUGUACUUUGAUCCACUUAUAGAGUGUCGUCUUCUUGGGCUUCUUCCUUCCUCUGAAUGGACCCAAUUUUUAUCAGGGCAUUCCAAGUUUGACAAAUCCUCAUCAGGAAUAGGCCAUUUCUUCAACUUGUUAAUCAAAUUUAAUCUCUUUGCACUACUGUAUUCUAAGCAAUCAUUGCUCCGCCAAGAGAGUGAGCCAACAGAUUCAUUUCUUUUCUCUUCUGAGUUCAGGCCUGGGGCCUUAUCAAAGUUUGUUGUGCAUGAAUUGCGCAACUCAUCUCUCAAACAGGAAUUAACCCACCUCAGGUAGGCAAGCUCCUCAACCUCAUUUAACCUGCUCAUCUGCAGACCCUCAACUUGUUUACACAAAUCUUCAUUUGUCAGCCUUAGCGAAGAUGCCUCAGCUUUAAUUUUCGCUACUAUUUCACUCUCAGAAGCCUUGGCAAGAGAAGUCAAUUGAGUCUCCAUGGAAGAUAGUUUGCAAGAAAGAUUCCUCUUCUCCAUCUGCAGUUCCUUGUUCAACCUCCUUAACUCCACAACUUCCAUUUCUAAAUUCCCCACUGAACUCUCAUUACCUUCUUUUUUCAAUAUAUCUUCAUGCUUCUUCUCUGAAAUCAAACACAUCUCAGCCACUUGUUCACAAAGGACACUUUUCUCAGACUCCAAAAGCCCAAUUCUUUGGGAAAGCUCAUCAACCUCAUUUUUCUUUGUUUCAAGCUCCCUUUCAAGAUCCAAUAAUAUUCCAUUCCUUUUGAGCUCUGAUACCUCAGCUUGGAGCUUGAAUUCCCUUUCUUUUGAUUCUUGAAGCAAGCUUCUUAGAUGAUCUAAUUCCAGAAACAAAUCACGGGACCCUGAAGACUGUCUCCGGUGAUUAGCCUGGUAUGCAUGUGGGUGGACUUGGGUGGCUGUUACUGAGCAAGAAAGAUCACCAAUGAGUGAUCUUUUGACGCGUGAAUGAGAAGUCACAAUAGGGUUCUUUUGGCUCGCAGUAUCUGAAUUUGCUAGUGGAAGUUUCUUGCUCGUGACUGCUGUCGCCUGUGCCUUAGUUUUCUUAUCUGCUGUGAACCCUUUAACAAUGUGUGAACCCCACGAGGACCGGAGCUUCGAACCAUUGUUGCUAUUUCCUUUGACGUUGUUCUGUGGCUUUGGUGCUUGAUUUUGAUCGGCAAAUUUAGAUGCUCUAGAUUUGGAUUCAAAAGGGUUUUCUUCUCUCAUUGUAGAAAAUAAUUUCAAAUGUACAUAAGAAGGCCACUCUGGUUCUGUGUUUCAGAGCCAAUUCGAUACCAACAUUUUGCCUUUCAAGCUCUAAGAACUAAAACCCAGAACAAUUCUGAGCUCGAAAUGAAGCUCAAGAAACGAGGUUGCUCAUAUGAAGCUGUAUGCAAGCAUCCAAAAUUUGGGUUUUCCUGCAAAUUUUGACAAAAAACAAAAAUGAGGUGCCAACUGCCGAGUUUGGAUUUGAAAUUUGAAGAGCUGCGAAUGGGAUAGUGCCCAAAAUGGAAUUGGAAUGUGCAAAGUGGCAGCUUUUCUUUAUU